UACGUAGGGUGCGAGCGUUGUCCGGAUUUAUUGGGCGUAAAGAGCUCGUAGGCGGUUUGUCGCGUCGGCCGUGAAAUCUCCACGCUUAACGUGGAGCGUGCGGUCGAUACGGGCAGACUUGAGUUCGGUAGGGGAGACUGGAAUUCCUGGUGUAGCGGUGAAAUGCGCAGAUACCAGGAGGAACACCGGUGGCGAAGGCGGGUCUCUGGGCCGAUACUGACGCUGAGGAGCGAAAGCGUGGGGAGCGAACAGG
rnacentral:rRNA from 1 species